rnacentral:lncRNA from 1 species
UGAGAGCUCCAUCCUCAUAACUUAAUCACUUCUGGAAUGUCCUACCUCUUAAUACCACUGCAUUGGUGAUUAGGUUUAGACAUAUAAAUUAUGAGUGUACAUAAACAUUCAGAGCAGUACAGACAGGGUUUUUAAGAGUAUCUAAGAAUAAGGGUUUGAACCCCUGAUUGUUUACAGUGAGUGAAUCAGUCAUUUGACAUUCAUCUUAAUUAAAACUUCUUCUCUGUUCAUUGCUCCUUUUGUACAUCUCCUCAUCUUCUCUUCCAAGAGCCAUCUGCCUAAUCAUCAAAGAAUGCUGCUCUUGGUAUAUUUAUGGAAAAUUCUUGCCUAGGAUUUCAAGGACUUAUCAUCAGGACAUUAAUAAGAGAAAAUAUGUGAUGGAAUAAAAUAUGCUGAAACACAUUGUGAAAAUGUGUAAUGUAAAUAAACCACUCAAUGACAAAAUUCGAAAACAAAAUGAUAAACUAACCUGGUAAGUUUAUGUCUUCCUCUACCCUUGCCACUACUACAAAUGUUUUAGGUUUCUAUUGACAGAAACACGAAGAUUAAAAUCCCAGUUUCAUACAUAUAUUAAUUAAUACUAUGGUUUUAUUGUGUGAUAAUCACUGUUUCUGAAUCUGUUUCAAAUUACAAACAAGUCUCAUAGACAUUAUGCUCCAGAGAACAUACCACUAACACACAGCAGGAUAAUAUCACAGUGAAAGAUUUCAUGAUGAGAACUAAAUAGAACUCCAUGUGGAAAUGCAAACCUCCCUGAUAGGAUGAGAAAAUAUUGUGCUAACACUGCAACCAUAUUCAAUAAAAAGUCUGUCUUAGAAAACUUUCAGCUUUGAGAAAAUUCUUUAGGAGAUUAUCGUGCCUUAUUUCCAAAUGCAUAAUGCUUUAAAUUCAGAAACAAUAACUGCAAUGAGACAGUUAAUUUGUUCCUAACAUUUUGCCCACUUCCUUUUUUGGGAAAAAAUAAACACAGAUAAGAUCCAUACUUUCUACAAGAAGUUCCAAGUAAAACACAGCAUGGGUAGGACAAAAAUAGCAAAACAGAAGUUCUUUGAUACUUUGGGAAGUUUUUCUCUCAUUAAGCAGCACAUCAAGUAAAGAAUAUAUUCAUAAGAUGUUAUAAGAGAAAAAAUGUUAUGAAACCUU